CAGAUUCUGAUUCAGAAUCUGAAUCUGAACCAAGUGAUGAGAGCGAAGAAUCAUCACCUGCAGAGAAGGAGAAGAAAAAGAAAAAAACAAAAACAACACCAAAAAAAACACAACCAAAAAAGAAAAAAGUUGUUGUGGAGGAU